UACGUAGGGACCAAGCGUUGUUCGGAUUUACUGGGCGUAAAGGGCGCGUAGGCGGCGUGUUAAGUCAGCUGUGAAAUCUCCAAGCUUAACUUGGAACGGUCAGCUGAUACUGAUGUGCUAGAGUGCAGAAGGGGCAAUCGGAAUUCUUGGUGUAGCGGUGAAAUGCGUAGAUAUCAAGAGGAACACCUGAGGUGAAGACGGGUUGCUGGGCUGACACUGACGCUGAGGCGCGAAAGCCAGGGGAGCAAACAGG
rnacentral:rRNA from 1 species